rnacentral:rRNA from 1 species
AUUGAACGCUGGCGGCAGGCCUUACACAUGCAAGUCGAGCGAGCGGCGGACGGGUGAGUAAUGUAUGGGGAACUGCCUGAUGGAGGGGGAUAACUACUGGAAACGGUAGCUAAUACCGCAUACCAUCGGAUGAGCCCAGAUGGGAUUAGCUAGUAGGUGGGGUAACGGCUCACCUAGGCGACGAUCCCUAGCUGGUCUGAGAGGAUGACCAGCCACACUGGGACUGAGACACGGUCCAGACUCCUACGGGAGGCAGCAGUGGGGAAUAUUGCACAAUGGGCGCAAGCCUGAUGCAGCCAUGCCGCGUGUGUGAAGAAGGCCCUAGGGUUGUAAAGUACUUUCAGUCGGGAGGCGUUACCGGCAGAAGAAGCACCGGCUAACUCCGUGCCAGCAGCCGCGGUAAUUC